UGCCCCAUAGCUCAAUGGCAGAGCGGACGGCUGUUAACCGCAGGGUUGUAGGUUCGAGUCCUACUGGGGUAGCCA
rnacentral:tRNA from 1 species